rnacentral:rRNA from 1 species
AAUCUUCCGCAAUGGACGCAAGUCUGACGGAGCAACGCCGCGUGAGUGAUGAAUGUCUUCGGAUUGUAAAACUCUGUUGUUAGGGAAGAACAAGUACCGUUCGAAUAGGUCGGUACCUUGACGGUACCUAACCAGAAAGCCCCGGCUAACUACGUUCCAGCAGCCGCGGUAAUACGUAGGGGGCAAGCGUUGUCCGGAAUUAUUGGGCGUAAAGGGCGCGCAGGCGGUCUUCUAAGUCUGAUGUGAAAGCCCACGGCUUAACCGUGGAAGGUCAUUGGAAACUGGAGGACUUGAGUGCAGAAGAGGAGAGUGGAAUUCCAUGUGUAGCGGUGAAAUGCGUAGAGAUAUGGAGGAACACCAGUGGCGAAGGCGACUCUCUGGUCUGCAACUGACGCUGAGGCGCGAAAGCGUGGGUAGCGAACA